rnacentral:rRNA from 1 species
UACAGAGGGUGCGAGCGUUAAUCGGAAUUACUGGGCGGAAAGCGUGUGUAGGUGGUUUGAUAAGUUAGAUGUGAAAUCCCCGGGCUUAACCUGGGCACUGCGUUUAAGACUGUUGAACUAGAGUACUGUAGAGGAUAGUGGAAUUUCCAGUGUAGCGGUGAAAUGCGUAGAUAUUGGAAGGAACACCAGUGGCGAAGGCGACUAUCUGGAUAGAUACUGACACUGAGACACGAAAGCGUGGGGAGCAAACAGG